AAAGCCUUGAACGCUGUCGUU
rnacentral:miRNA from 1 species